UUUCCGUAGGCGAACCUGCGGAAGGAUCAUUCACAAUAAGUGUUUUAUGGCACUUUUUAAACAUUCCAUGUCCACCUUGUGUGCAACGUAAUGAGAUCCUCUAUCGUUAUCUUUUAGGUUACUGAAGAGGAAACCUCUAAAACUUACCAAAAUCACCUAUAACUUAUUUUUCUGAUCCUUUGUUAUCACGAAUUAACUUAAUUCGAAAAUACAACUUUUAACAACGGAUCUCUUGGCUCUC
rnacentral:misc_RNA from 1 species